AGUGAACGCUGGCGGCGUGCUUAACACAUGCAAGUCGAACGAGAACGGGUUAUAGCUUGCUAUAAUUGUCAGCUAAGUGGCGCACGGGUGAGUAAUGUAUAGGUAAUAUGCCUCUUACUAAGGGAUAACAAAUGGAAACGUUUGCUAAUACCUUAUACUCCUUUUAAACAGAAGUUUAAAAGGGAAAGAUUUAUUGGUAAGAGAUUAGCCUGUAUUGUAUCAGUUAGUUGGUGGGGUAAUGGCUUACCAAGACUAUGACACAUAACUGGUUUGAGAGGAUGAUCAGUCACACUGGAGCUGAUACACAGUCCAGACUCCUACGGGAGGCAGCAGUGGGGAAUAUUGCACAAUGGACGAAAGUCUGAUGCAGCAACGCCGCGUGGAGGAUGACACAUUUCGGUGCGUAAACUCCUUUUAUAUGAGAAGAUAAUGACGGUAUUAUAUGAAUAAGCACCGGCUAACUCCGUGCCAGCCGCCGCCGUAA
rnacentral:rRNA from 1 species